CUAAUACAUGCAAGUCGAGCGAACUGAUUAGAAGCUUGCUUCUAUGACGUUAGCGGCGGACGGGUGAGUAACACGUGGGCAACCUGCCUGUAAGACUGGGAUAACUUCGGGAAACCGAAGCUAAUACCGGAUAGGAUCUUCUCCUUCAUGGGAGAUGAUUGAAAGAUGGUUUCGGCUAUCACUUACAGAUGGGCCCGCGGUGCAUUAGCUAGUUGGUGAGGUAACGGCUCACCAAGGCAACGAUGCAUAGCCGACCUGAGAGGGUGAUCGGCCACACUGGGACUGAGACACGGCCCAGACUCCUACGGGAGGCAGCAGUAGGGAAUCUUCCGCAAUGGACGAAAGUCUGACGGAGCAACGCCGCGUGAGUGAUGAAGGCUUUCGGGUCGUAAAACUCUGUUGUUAGGGAAGAACAAGUACAAGAGUAACUGCUCGUACCUUGACGGUACCUAACCAGAAAGCCACGGCUAACUACGUGCCAGCAGCCGCGGUAAUACGUAGGUGGCAAGCGUUAUCCGGAAUUAUUGGGCGUAAAGCGCGCGCAGGCGGUUUCUUAAGUCUGAUGUGAAAGCCCACGGCUCAACCGUGGAGGGUCAUUGGAAACUGGGGAACUUGAGUGCAGAAGAGAAAAGCGGAAUUCCACGUGUAGCGGUGAAAUGCGUAGAGAUGUGGAGGAACACCAGUGGCGAAGGCGGCUUUUUGGUCUGUAACUGACGCUGAGGCGCGAAAGCGUGGGGAGCAAACAGGAUUAGAUACC
rnacentral:rRNA from 2 species